rnacentral:rRNA from 1 species
UACGGAGGGUGCAAGCGUUAUCCGGAUUUACUGGGUUUAAAGGGUGCGUAGGCGGCCCGUUAAGUCAGUGGUGAAAGCCUCCAGCUCAACUGGAGAACUGCCAUUGAUACUGGCGGGCUCGAGUACAGACGAGGUAGGCGGAAUUGAUUGUGUAGCGGUGAAAUGCAUAGAUACAAUCAAGAACACCGAUUGCGUAGGCAGCUUACUAGGCUGUAACUGACGCUGAGGCACGAAAGCGUGGGGAGCGAACAGG